AGAAGACCUUGGCGAAGGCAAUCAUCUCCAUUAGGCCGAGACGGAUCACUGCAGCUUUGGUGUUGUCGCCAAAUCCAAGGCCGUCACAGAAGCCUGCUCCCACGGCCACGAUGUUCUGUGAGGAUGAUAAAAAAGCUUCACAUCUAGUUGUGUUUGGAGGAGAGGAUUAACCUUAAGUGCACCACAGAUCUCCACUACAUCAGACUCUUCCACCACAGUCACACGGAAGUUGGUAGUCUGCAUCAGCUCCUUCAGCAGUGGUCCAUGUACUUUGUCUUUGCACCCUGAAAUAACACAGACAAUACAGUGAUGUUUUAUA